CCAGAGCUAUCAACCACUCAGCCAUCUCUCC
rnacentral:tRNA from 1 species